rnacentral:lncRNA from 1 species
AUGUGGGGCAGGAGCCCCUGAAAAGCCAUGUCAGCUAGUUGGCUGUCGCUCAAGACCAAGCUGUAGCACUUAUUCCUGACCUCCCUGAAUCGCUGGAUGAAGCUAGCCAUCGACUCAUCACUCCUCUGCCUCAGACUGGUUAGAUCUGUUAGCUUUAUCUCAUGAACCCCAGCAAAGAAGUACUUGUGGAACUGUUUUUCCAGAUCAGCCCAGGUGAUGAUGGAGUUAGGUGGAAGCGUCGUGAACCACUGGAAGGCCGAC